UACGUAGGGGGGCUAGCGUUGUCCGGAUUUAUUGGGCGUAAAGAGCGUGUAGGCGGCCAGGUAGGUCUGCUGUGAAAACUCGAGGCUCAACCUCGAGAUGUCGAUGGAAACCGUCUGGCUAGAGUCCGGAAGAGGAGUGUGGAAUUCCUGGUGUAGCGGUGAAAUGCGCAGAUAUCAGGAAGAACACCCGUGGCGAAGGCGGCUCUCUGGAACGCAACUGACGCUGAGACGCGAAAGCGUGGGGAGCAAACAGG
rnacentral:rRNA from 1 species